CCCAGACUCCUACGGGAGGCAGCAGUGGGGAAUAUUGCACAAUGGGGGGAACCCUGAUGCAGCGACGCCGCGUGGGUGAAGGAGCACCUCGGUGCGUAAAGCCCUAUCGGCAGGGAAGAAACAGACGGUACCUGACUAAGAAGCCCCGGCUAACUACGUGCCAGCAGCCGCGGUAAUACGUAGGGGGCAAGCGUUAUCCGGAUUUACUGGGUGUAAAGGGAGCGUAGACGGCCAGACAAGUCAGAAGUGAAAGCCCAGGGCUCAACCCUGGGACUGCUUUUGAAACUGCCGGGCUGGAGUGCAGGAGAGGUAAGCGGAAUUCCUAGUGUAGCGGUGAAAUGCGUAGAUAUUAGGAGGAACACCAGUGGCGAAGGCGACUUUCUGGACUGUACCUGACGCUGAGGCGCGAAAGCGUGGGUAGCGAACGGGAUUAGAUACCCUAGUA
rnacentral:rRNA from 1 species